rnacentral:lncRNA from 1 species
AAUGCUCAAGCUUUAUACUAGUGAUAAGUGUGUUUUUAUACACAUAUUUAGGUCACAAACAUGACUUAAUUACGAGCAAAAUGGUUGAGUUGUAGCUUAAUUUCAUUUAAAUUGUGAAUUGUAGGAAACAUUGAUGGAUAUGGUGAAAUUUGGGAGAAAAAACGCGAAAAAGGACUAAAAUGAAGCAAAGUGAAAGUUCAAGGACUAAGUAGCAAAUCAUUCGAAGAUGAGGCGGGCUAUGGAAUGAAGACUCAAGAGUGUUAGAGGUCAACUGGAUGAGGAAAGGAGUCAAAAAAGUGAAAUAUAGCCGAAAUAUUAUCACGUUUCAACUUUCAGGCAAAAAAACUAUGCUUGGGAUUUUUAGUGUCUAAUUGAGACCCAUUUUUGGCAUAGUAAACAUUCGAAUUUGAGAAAGACUAUUUCUAUAAAAACUGUAUAUCUUUGAGUUACCUUCCCAACGCACUUUGAAUCACCUCAAUCGAAGGUCAGAAGAGAAAGUUAUGACUAAAAUAUUGAAAGCUGCCGGACGGAAAAAUUUAUAUAACCAUGCGGUCGCAUUGUUAUAAUUCCUUGCGGUCACACAAGGCAAUGCAGGGAAAACUAUGUGGUGAAACUUCUAAACCAUGUGGUCGCAUGGUAUAAAAAUGUGACGGAAUCUCAAGUUUCCUAAUUCGACUCAAACACGAUUUGGUAAGGUUUUGGGCCACUUUCUUGACCUAAUUCCAUCCCGAAUAAAUACCAGACGACCUGAAACAUAAGUAGAACGCACUGGGAAGCAUUAUACAGUAUUUUGGAGGAUUUGGAGAGGAAGAACAAUGCGAAAAUAAGGCGAUCCACUUCUAGAUUCAAGAUUCCACAUCCAGAAUCAAUUGGGUGAUGUUCUUCCUUGGUUUUAAUCGUUGUUUUUCUUUAUCUCCUAUUAUGUUAGGUUAGAUUUUUAUGUACUAGAAGAUCUAUGUACCAUGUGAUUUGAUUUUUAAUUUUCUAGUUUUACAAUUUGACAUUAAAAACACGUUUUGAUUGUUUUGAAUGAUUUAUAUGCGAUUAUUAUUUUCCACAAUUAAGGGCCCAUAAUUGUGUGAGUUUGGGUGACUUAUUCUUGCAUUCGAGAGAAUUGGAAUAGGUUCGACAUAAUAUAAAUCAUCGUAGAGUCCGAUAGAGGAUAAAAAUAUACCGCUAUUCCUUACGUGAAUCUUUAAGUGUUCGCAAAACCGUAUGCAUUUUUAUGUAUGCACUUGUUGUAGAAAUAUAGACUAGUGGUAUGUAAAACUAGGUUCAAUACAUCUCGACAGAGAGUAUUGGAUAGAUUUAGGAGCAAUGAUUCGUCAACAAUUUAAUCGUGUUGUAAUACUAUGAAACUAGGGUUUAAAAUGAUAAUUGUAUGAAAAAUCGUGAUCCUAGUGAGCUUGAUUUUCAUUGAAUGCAACAAACAUGCUUUCUCAACCUUUGAUUUCAUUCUACAGUGUUAAAAUUUUGUCUUGCAUAUAAAAUUCAUUUCAAUCAUAAAAAUUGCAUAAAUUAGGGUUUUCUUUCCAAUUUUAGUGUUUUAAUUAGGUCCACAUUCAUUUUAGUAAUUUAGUUCGGUUAAGACUACAAUAGAUAAAAUUGAACUAAUCAAUCUCUGUGGGACGAUAUUCGGACUCAAUUGAUCCAACACUUACGGUAGUUUAAAUCGAAAGAAAUAUUUCGUGAACAACUAGUAAAUUCAUAUGUGAGAUAAACUUGAUAAUGGUUGGUUGGUUGGGAUAUUUUGGUGUAGGCAGGGGUUAACAAGGUAGCACAGCUAAUUGGUGCGACUUUGGCUCCAAAGGGAAGGAAUGUCGUAUUGCAAAACAAGAAUGGACCUCCCAAGAUUGUCAAUGAUGGUGAAAUUGUUCUUAAAGAGGUGCCAGCAUACUUCUUAUCUUAUCUAAUGUUUACAUCUGCGUAGUGGUAGAAUGUGCCUAUUAAGAUUGGAUGUUGAAGUACACUAAAUUAUGUAAAAGAUACAAAGAGGGAUGGCCUUUCAACCUAGUGGUGAGAGAGAUUGAUUCCCAACUAAGAUAAUGCGUUUCUUGAUGAAAAGAUCUUUUUAUAUGGAAUUUUAUCUUUAAAGGACUUGUGAUUUGGGUUUUCUUGCUAAAUAAUCUGUCGAUACGCAUGUUUAUCGGGAUCUUAGUCCUAAGUAAUUGUAGAAGUUGGGGGUUUGUCUUCUUGUUUGAGGGAUGUCUGUUAAGGACAAGUUUUGAAGUUUUUUAGUUGGGACAUAAACCAAAUAAAAAUUAAAGUAAAAAUAUAUAUUCUCAGAAGUUUGUAACAAGUGUCUUCUUAAUGAUUAUACUACAGAUUUUUGUAGUCUGUCUAUAUUCUCCCAUUCCCAUUAUGUAGUUCAUAAUAAAGGGACAACUCCUACUGGGACGAAGACUGAAGUUCAUACAGCUACCUGAAAAUCUCCAUUGGCUUUUAGAUUGUUUCGUCAUUAUAUUAUGGUUUAUCCACGUAUUUCUAGCUGUGAAAUAAAACUACGUUAGAUACAAUUUUAGCAUGAUUUCCCAGAGUCUGAGGAGAAAAAAUAACUUCAAUGGUUCUGAAAAGGUACAGUGCCUUUUCUUUCAGAAAUUGAAGGAUAAAAAUUAUUCUGUUCUGGCUCUUAUAUUAUCUGUACUGAUUUGUUGCAUGCACACAUAGUUAUUCAAAAUGAUAUUUAUUUUUAUUUUUUGCUUUGUAGGUUUAAAUUGACUGUCAUCAUGAUGUAUAAAAUGUUGGCUCCAUUUGGCCUUCUAUGCUAAUUUUUUUGAAUCAAGAACGAAAAAUAUUUCACUUCUGUGUUAAUGAUGUACAAAAACAUUAUGAUCCUAUCUGAUACCAAAACAUCUCGACACAGGGCUUAUCCUGGCAAGAAGUAUCAGAGAAAAGUUCUAAAGAGAAUCUCCAAGGCUGAGAGAGAGAAAUCAAAGUGCGAACAUCUGAAUGAAAUCUUUCUUUCUUUAUCUAAUGAUUUAGGUAUUUUCCAGAUGCUCAAAUGAUUCUACUUCAUAUAUAACAUUUUUGCCUUUUAACAAAAUUUCCAUCAAGUUAUGGCUCCAUUAACUGUACGAUAGUUUCAGGACAUGAAAUCUGACAUCAAAACAUGGUGCCUUAAAUGAGAUCAUUUUUACAUAAUUAUCUAUGCAGAUUCAAUGGUAAGGCCUCUGUAUUGGAUGGAGCGAUUUGUAUGGUGAAGAACACGCUAGAUGAGAUCAACUGUCUGAAAAGAAAAUGCUGCUUGCUGUCUGAAUCUCAAUAUGUAAGUCCACUGACAUCAAGUUUUCACAUUCUGUGUCGAUAACUUUUUAUGGCAUGCAGUGUAACAACUGAACCUAAGUUAAUUAAUGUUUUCUGAUAAUAACUUUUAAGUCAAUUCAUAAUGUGGCAAUUGAGACUUGAGAGUUCUAUAAUCCACUCUCGGAAUAUGCCCUGGUUAUGCUGGGGGCCUUUAGAAGAUGGAAAAAAUGUGUAUGUUUGUAAAAUAAAAAAAAAAAAAAAAAAUGCAAAAAUGUGACUUAAAAAAAAAUAAAUAAAUAAAAAGAAGAAGAAGGAAUUUGAGCAUAGUUGAUCAAAUCUUUGAGAUUUUUAAAAUUUCAAAUUCCUAUGAUUUUCCAAUCACUAAACUAAUUCUGAUCUUGUAAAUAAAUUUUGAUUCCCAAUGUGUUUUGCGACAUUAUUUUAGAUCUACUACAAUAGCCAGGUUCUUUUAUCUGUUCGCUGGAACUCUAAAUUUAGCACAAGCUAACUUUAUUUAUUGACAGGUGAGCAUGGAGAAAACGUAACUACAAGAUGAGAAUUCGGCUCUAGAGGCUCAAAUUGGGAAACUGCAAUGUGAACUCAAGGAGAGGGUCUGGUCCGCAACUCGACCUGAAUGUGAACUUCAAGAACUGGAAUCGCAUAUUGGUGAUGAUCAUCAUCAUAGAUUGCCUUGUGUAGAACCAGUUGUUAAUUCUUUUGUAUCUUGUCCCUAUCCGCUAAAAUACUCGAGCUUAUCAAGAGCCUGCUACGGCAGAACUUGCAGGUAUGCCUAACCACAUCCUAGAUAUCCUACUGCAGCAGACGUAUGGCCAUCCGAUUUCUUGAGGAACCCUGCUAUGGUGACAGGUCGGUGCCUGAUCCCUCACAAGGGGGUCGGGCCCCACAAUUUUUGGGAAUAUUUUUUUCGCACCGGGCCCAUGCUAUAGUGAGGGGUCGGGCACCAUUCGGUCACCAACCCCCCUGGCCAUCCGGAAUUACCCUUUCUUGAAAAUCAACUGAAGUUAGGCGUGGAAUUUGGAUAAAAGUGGAUGUAGAGGACAGCAGGAGGAAGGCUUUUGACAAUGGAAACUAUAUCAAUUUUUGUUUUUUUUUUUUUUGGAAAAUGUAUUGGAUUUUUAGGCAUUUUAGAAUUUUGGAUUUGGAUUUUGUAAGGAUAUUGUUACAUUUUAGAGUUCAAUUAAUAAUGAUUAUUGGAG